rnacentral:lncRNA from 1 species
CUUUCACUAUUACUUUGCUAAUCAUCUACCAUUUGUUAAUGAGUUCUGGCCACAAUUAUCUGCCAUUAGUACUAGAUCUUUCUCGCUAACCUUCUUUUAUUCUUCAUAUCUUUUUUUAGGAAUUUUACUUUUUAUUAUCUCUAAUCAAACUCUGGACUCAACUCUGUGUUUCACAAUUGGGAAUAAACUUGUCGACUGCUUCUUGAUGAAUGAACUCUUAGAGCAGCAAUCGUCUACCAGGAUGGAGUAUUCCUGGAGCUUUUGAACUGCUGAACGGGAAUAUUGAGGUAUACCCUUUCAAUUGUUAUUUUUAAAGGGUUUAUAUGUUAUUUUUUCCUUUUUUAUUUAUCAUAAUUAAUCCGUCGAAGGUAGAUUCUCUGCUAAUUUAGAGGUAUAACCCCUUUGAAAUGUUGAAUUUUUUUAAGGUUUAAAAUAGGUGAAAUUUACUAAUCGCUGAUUUAAAAUUUUGUCGGACUACAUUGCCCAUUGAUUCCUCAUCUAUACUAUUAUAGCCAUGUUCUUUCACUCACUGAUUUUAGUGUUUUUCAUUAUUUCUCUUUUGAUUCUUCUUCCAACCUCCUCUUGAAGUUGAUCCCGUGAUUAGAAAUGGCAGUUUUUGUACUUUUGUUUUCUUUAUUUUAUUAUUUUAACUACUAAAAUAUUUUCAAGAGUCCCAUAAUAUGCAUAUUGGGUUGCCAAUGCGUAGCCAGUGCAGUGUGCGGGAUUUUAGGAUCAUAAAGGUGAUAACAGUGGAUAGUUUUUUAAUCAUUUUUAUCGUUGAACUGAAAAAAAUUGAGGAGAUUGUGUAGAGGUUGUUUAUUUUUACGUCAUUUGCUUGCUUUAUACUGUGGCUACCAUGUGAAUAGCAAGAAUACGUUAUUAUGGAUCAAUUACCUUACCUAUCAUGAUUGUUGUUAAAUUAAGAACUUCAUACUGCAUUAUAAUAUGAGUAUUUUAUUUUCAAUUCACAACUCAGAGUAUUCAUUCUUACCAAACAAAAAAUAUGAAUUCAGUGGUAUGGUGUCUACCUAUUUGAACUUGCAGGAUGUGCAUGUCAUAUUUCAACUAUAAUUUAGCUUAUCAGCGGACGUAACCAAUGCCCACAUAAGAUAUUAAAAAGUAGAAUAAAUAGUUUUAUGCCUUGUUCUCUCUUUUCUUUUCUUUUUCUUUUUUAAAAAAAAUGGUUAACCCAUUGACAUUUGUCUAUGACAAUACAUUUAAAUCCUACUAGUUAUAAUUGAACUACCAGUUAUGCAAAAGAAUAACAUGUUGCGAUAUUGGGUUAAUACAACAAGUUGUAAUUCAAGUUGAUGAUUUUUGGAAAAAAUACAUAAUAGUUAUUAUUGUUAUUCUUUUAAUAUAGCAAAAAGAUCUUGGAAGAGAUAAUGUCGUGAAUGACUACAUUAGCACUUUAUUUUAUAUUGGAUUGACUAUUUACUUGUUGUAAUUUCUUUUUUAAUUAAUGUUCAAGUUGUAACAACAUGUCUAGUGAUUUGCUAUUCUCGAUUACAAGAACUACAUAUGGCGGAGAAGAAUACAAUCAACUUAAAAUUUUCAAGCAUUUAGAGAAAAGGUAAUUUCCUAUUGCCCGCAAAAGUUGAAUACGACCUAAAUACGAAGUUCAUAUGACUUAGAAUCAACUCAUUAAUUGGUCUCCCUAUUCUUUUUUCGGCUAAAAAUAUUCACUUGCUAUUUCAGUGAUUGAGUUUAGAAUAAUGUAUGUAUACUUCUUUCUCCUCUAUACGAAAUCAUUAAAAAGUAAAAUAAAACUUGGCAUGUGUAUUGCUAUAACUUGAAUUUAGUGGGAUCACUUCCGUGAGUAAAUACUUACCUAGCUCAUCUUAUGAAUACCACUUAUCUCUUGAUAGUUUUUCUUAUAUCAUCUCAAUUAUUGAAGUUAUCAUCCUCUAAAACCUUCUCUACCUUACCUUAUAAGUACCACAUCUCUCUUUUGAUAGUUUUCCUUCUCAAUUACUGAAGCUAUAACCUUUUCAAGUAGUAAUUUAAGUCCUCUAGAUAUUGUUACUUACAUUACUUUUUUCCUUGACACGCAUAACAUCCGUAAUAUUUGUAAAUGCUUACAAAAUGCCUUUCCUUCUUUUACCUUUAUAUUUAUUAUUAUUUUUUUGUUUAUUCAGAGCUUAUAUUUUUAUUGUUUGUGGGUUAGUGUACCAUUUUGUCUUAUUUCUUUCCUAUGUUCUGUAGCUACAUUUGCAGGUACAACUUAUCUUUCCUCCCUCCCUCCUUUUUUCCUCCCUAGCAAAACUAGCGCACAUCCAUAUUAUUGUUCAGUUCUUCGGGUGGGGUUUUAUGUCUGCACUUUGUGCCAGUUUUAUGUCUUACAGAAUAAGAUCAUAUACACUUCCAAAGGCAUUUACUUCUGAUAUCCUUGACACAUAAAAUUAACUAAUGUAUGUAUACUAGAUACAAAGGUUUAUGUUCUAUACUUCUACUUGUUUAUGAAAUUAUUUUUUAUUUUUGGUUAAUAAUCAAUCCAUGUACAGGGUCUCGAGAAAUAAGGAACAAAUUAAUGCCAGCUUGGAAGCGGUGUUGAGAUUGAUCCACGAGCACAUUCAGAUGAUAUCCCAAAAUUUAUGAUCGGACAAAUCAAGAUUUUUGACUAGCUUUCGUAAAGAAGCUUAUAAGAAAUUGUUUCAGGACUUGUGUUUAUGUAGUUGAAACUAAGUGACUCAGUUGGCAGACUACGUGAAAGGUCAAACUCCUAAGUUUUGAAGGAAAAGAAUAGUAAUGUAAGUUAGUAGGAUAGGUAUUAGACAUAUGAUAUGUGCACCAACUGUUUCGACUUUACAACUUGAUAAUUGAAUGAGGAAUCAUUUAUUUUGUUAAAAGGCCGAAUGAUG